rnacentral:lncRNA from 1 species
AAACUAUGCUUCCUACAGGGUUCAUUUUAAAAUUUCGGAAACUUGUUAUAUUCUCUUUGUGUCCUAAUAUCAAACCCUCAUUUUCUCAGGGAGAUGAAUAAGCGUCUAACGGAGGAACAAGCCAAGAAAACCUAUGACCGGGCAAUUAAGCUAGAACAAGAAUUUGGAGAAUAUUUUACAGCUAUUGUCCAAGGAGAUACCUUAGAAGAUAUUUACAACCAAUGCAAGCUUGUUAUUGAAGAGCAGUCUGGACCUUUCAUCUGGAUUCCCUCAAAGGAGAAGUUAUAAAUUAGCUACUGCACCUCUGACAACGACAGAAGAGCAUUUAGAAGAACAAAAUAUAUAUAAUAUAACACUUGGAGGCUUUUAUGUUUUUGUUGCAUUUAUGUUUUUGCAGUCAAUGUGAAUCCUUAUGAAUGUACAACACAAACUGUGUGAAGCCAUGAAGGAAACAGAGGGGCCGAAGGGUGGGACGGAAGAGACAUAGCAGUAUGCAGGAAGGCUUGGGUUUGCUCAAAGUGCCAGGUGUAGGGAUGAACCUCUGAUGGGCUCUCUGCCCUAGAGACGGGCAGCCUUCUCACCCCAGCAGAUGUCCAGAGCUGAUUUAGCUGCUGAGCUCUCUGUGUUUGCUUUAAGAAAAGUUGCCAGCACUCGAACCUCACCAAUCUACCCUUUACCAACCUCUGUAAUUGGUACACUUUGAAUUUUAUAACUAUGCACAUCCUUUGAUUUCUUAACAAGCAAAGGAAAUAGGGAAAACAGAAAGGAGUCCCUUUGGAGAUGACAUACCAUCAGGGGAGGAUGAUUACUUAGUUUCCUUGGCUGGCAUGUGCAAAGACCAGCGUGCCGUGUGUGGAGGACUAACGUUACUGAAGGGGGUUCCACCUGGCCUAGCUUUAGGACUAUCAAUUGUCUAUUUUGCCAUUUAUAAGCUGAAAGAAGGCACUAAAGAUGAGAAUAAUUUAUACAAUAAAUAUAUUAAAUGUAUAGAAAUGAAUUUCUAUAGGUU